rnacentral:rRNA from 1 species
CGGUGGAGCAUGUGGUUUAAUUCGAAGCUACGCGAAGAACCUUACCAGGUCUUGACAUACUAUGCAAAUCUAAGAGAUUAGACGUUCCCUUCGGGGACAUGGAUACAGGUGGUGCAUGGUUGUSGUCAGCUCGUGUCGUGAGAUGUUGGGUUAAGUCCCGCAACGAGCGCAACCCUUAUUAUCAGUUGCCAGCAUUAAGUUGGGCACUYUGGUGAGACUGCCGGUGACAAACSGGAGGAAKGUGGGGAYGACGUCAAAUCAUCWUGCCCCUUAUGACCUGGGCUACACACGUGCUACAAUGGAUGGUACAACGAGUUGCGAACUCGCGAGAGUAAGCUAAUCWCUUAAAGCCAUUCUCAGUUCGGAUUGUAGGCUGCAACUCGCCUACAUGAARUCGGARUCGCUWGUAAUCGCGGAWCAGCAUGCSSCGGURAAUACKUUCCSSSSYCWWSWMCACACCGCCCGUCACACCAUGAGAGUUUGUAACACCCAAAGUCGGUGGGGUAACCUUUUAGGAACCAGCCGCCUAAGGUGGGACAGAUGAUUAGGGUGA